rnacentral:rRNA from 1 species
UACGAAGGGUGCGAGCGUUGUUCGGAAUUACUGGGCGUAAAGGGUUUGUAGGCUGAAAUGUAAGUCAAGUGUGAAAUCCCCGAGCUAAACUUGGGACGUGCAUUUGAAACUGUGUUUCUUGAGUAUCGUAGAGGGUGGUGGAAUUGCAGGUGUAGGAGUGACAUCCGUAGAGAUCUGCAGGAACAUCAGAGGCGAAGGCGACCACCUGGCCGAUUACUGACGCUGAGGAACGAAAGCGUGGGGAGCAAACAGG